rnacentral:tRNA from 1 species
UCCUUGGAAGGCUAUUGGUUAGGUCAUGGUGCUCUCAGCUCUGUGGCCCGGGUUCGAUUCCCGGCCAGGGAA